AUGGCGGGUGCAACAUCUCAGGGAGAACCAAGUCGUCGUAAUGGCAUCUCUAUCCAGAACAAUUCAGUUGGUGCACGGCGACGUGGUGGCUCGACAAGUGUGGGCAACAGCAGUAGGGUCCCCCUUGAAGUGGAGCCUGAUGGCUACAAUUCUGGGGUUGAUGAAGAGAAGCUAUAUUCUGAUGUUAUUCAGAAUUUACGACGGGCACCUCAGACUGAAAAUCAAGAUGAGGCUCACAAUGCAGUCCGUGUGGAUAAUGACGCGAUGGGUGAGGACGAAGACCUUGCAGCUGUUGAAUGGGACCCAUUUGAACCCUCAUAUGGAAGAAGGUACAGUUUUUGCAUCCAUGAAUGA
rnacentral:rRNA from 1 species